rnacentral:lncRNA from 1 species
UUCAUUUCAUUCUUUCCCCUUUCUCUCUCUCCUUCUCCCUCUCUUUUUUCACUUUCUUUACUUUCUAUUCUUACAUUAGAAAGUAAUUUAAGACACAUUUACAAAUCAACUUGUAUUGUUUUAGAUGGCAUAUAGUGGCACAGUUCUAAACUGAGAUUUUUCCUUCAGAUUUUAUCCUCCCCAAAUAGAUUUCCUGCUCACUUUGUGUUUGUUUGUUUAAACUAUGUCUCUUGGUAUUGUGACAGCUCAGGACAAUUUUCCAUAUACUGCCAUUCAGUUCCCACAAUAGUUAACUCCCAGGCUUUCAGACAGAUGACUUGCCAACUACUGAGUGAUGCCAUUUGAAGCACAGAAUCAGAUGAAGGGCUCUUUCCUUGGUGUGCCUCAGUAAUUUUGUGCAAUGGGACAACUGCACACUUAUUUUUGAGGGAGUCAUGGUCAGAGUGCAUUAUUCGCUCUCCCUCUUACCAAAGACAAAUGGUUGGAAAAGGUAACCUUCAGCUUCUUCAAGGAAGUUCUUCAGCAGCUUCAGGGAAAUCUGAACAGACCGUGGAUGUAUCUGGAAGGAGAAGAUUCUUUCCAUUCUCUUCUCUGAAUGUUUUCAUGUGGGAAUGACUGUAGUAAGUCCAGAACUUUUUGUUCUUCAUUUCACUCUCCAGAAAGAAAUAGUGUACUGAUACAGAUAUAUGAAUCAAACACAUAAUCCAGUCUUUUCAUAUUGUUUUUUUUCUAUUUCUUUUAACUGUUGAAGAAGAUAGAUUCUCCUCUUCUUUCCUCCUAUGAAAUUCUACCACACUUCCAGUAGCACAGUUUUUGAGCACCUUCCCUCUACAGCUUUUCCAGAACACUGCUUUAGGAACUUCUGCCACUCAUUCCAGUCACUGCACUUACCUGCUUCAUUCACGCUCACUUGUCUUCCACAUUUCCAGCUAUGUUGUUUGUUCCUUCCGACUGAGUCUCAGACGGUGGCACAGUCAACAUACAGAAGGAAGAGCUGAGCUA